rnacentral:rRNA from 1 species
UGAGGAAUCUUAGACAAUGGGGGCAACCCUGAUCUAGCCAUGCCGCGUGAGUGAUGAAGGCCUUAGGGUCGUAAAGCUCUUUCGCCAGGGAAGAUAAUGACGGUACCUGGUAAAGAAACCCCGGCUAACUCCGUGCCAGCAGCCGCGGUAAUACGGAGGGGGUUAGCGUUGUUCGGAAUUACUGGGCGUAAAGCGCGCGUAGGCGGAUCGGAAAGUUGGGGGUGAAAUCCCGGGGCUCAACCCCGGAACUGCCUCCAAAACUAUCGGUCUAGAGUUCGAGAGAGGUGAGUGGAACUCCGAGUGUAGAGGUGAAAUUCGUAGAUAUUCGGAAGAACACCAGUGGCGAAGGCGGCUCACUGGCUCGAUACUGACGCUGAGGUGCGAAAGUGUGGGGAGCAAACAGGAUUAGAUACCCCCGUAGUCC